AUACGUAGGGUGCAAGCGUUAAUCGGAAUUACUGGGCGUAAAGCGUGCGCAGGCGGCUUUGUAAGACAGUGGUGAAAUCCCCGGGCUCCACCUGGGGACUGCCAUUGUGACUGCAAGGCUGGCGUGCCGCAGAGGGGGAUGGAAUUCCGCGUGUCACAGUGAAAAGCGUAGAUAUGCGGAGGAACACCGAUGGCGAAGGCAAUCCCCUGGGCCUGCACUGACGCUCAUGCACGAAAGCGUGGGGAGCAAACAGGAUUAGAUACCCUGGUAGUCCACGCCCUAAACGAUGUCAACUGGUUGUUGGGGAUUUAUUUUCUCAGUAACGAAGCUAACGCGUGAAGUUGACCGCCUGGGGAGUACGGCCGCAAGGUUAAAACUCAAAUGAAUUGGCGGGG
rnacentral:rRNA from 1 species